AACGUAGGACACAAGCGUUAUCCGGAGUUACUGGGCGUAAAGGGCGCGUAGGCGGCCACCGCAAGUCAAUUGCGAAAUCUCCGGGCUUAACUCGGAAAGGUCAACUGAUACUGCGGGGCUAGAGUGCAGAAGGGGCAACUGGAAUUCUCGGUGUAGCGGUGAAAUGCGUAGAUAUCGAGAGGAACACCUGCGGCGAAGGCGGGUUGCUGGGCUGACACUGACGCUGAGGCGCGAAAGCUAGGGGAGCGAACGGG
rnacentral:rRNA from 1 species